CUGAAAAAUCAUCCGUUGCAUUGGCUCUAAAGGAUGCUGAUGUUGGCACACUGCAGUGUGACUGGAAACAGCGCUGUCAGGGAAGAGAACUGUCAAGGAUCUGCAACUGUCUCCAACACACUCAGCACCCCACUGCCCUGAGUCCUCCCUGCAGCUUUUCCAAAGGACCAAUGGAGCCACAUUUAGGACUCUCAAAGAUAGAGACAAGAGACAGUGACAGACAGACAGUCAUAGCACACAAGAGAAACAAAUGGAGACAAGGAGGAAGAGGGCCAAGUAGAGAGAGAGGCUGGCCGGGCACCGUGGCUCAUGCCUGUAAUCCCAGUGUUUUGGAGGCCGAGGCCGGCGGAUCGCUUGAGGUCAGGAGUUUGAGACCAGCCCAGCCAACAUGGUGAAACCCCAUCUCUGCUAAAUAUACAAAAAUUAGCCAGGCAUGGUGGCAGGCGCCUGUAAUCCCAGCUACUCGGGAGGCUGAGGCACGAGAAUCACUUGAACCUGGGAGGUGGAGGUUGCAGUGAGCCGAGACUGGUCACUGCACUCCAGCCUGGGAGACAGAGCAAGACUCCGUCUCAAAAAAAAAAAAAAAAAAAAAAAAAAAAAAAAAAAAAAGAAAGGAAGGAAGAGAAACAGAAAGAUGCAUGCAGAGAGCCAAGAGAUAAGAGGAGAUGCAUAUAUAACUCCCUAGCACUUUGGGAGGCUGAGGCGGGCGGAUCACAAGGUCAAGAGAUUGAGACCAUCCUGGCCAACAUGGUGAAACUCCGUCUCUACUGAAAAUACAAAAAAUCAGCUGGGCAUGCUGUUGCACACCUGUAGUCCCAGCUACUCGGGAGGCUGAGGCAGGAGGAUCACUUAAAACCCAGGAGGUGGAGGUUGCAGUGAGCCGAGAUCACACCACUGCACUCCAGCCUGGGCAACAAGAGCAAGACUCAGUCUCUUAAAAAAAAAAAAAAAAGAAAUAGAAAAAGACCCAGACCUCAAGGGGUGGAAUGAAGGCAGUGAGAUAAAAGGAAAGAGAUUUGCAGGAAGAUGGUCACUGAUGGAGACAGAGACAUAGACAGAGAUACCAGAUACAGUGUAGUCAGUAUAGAUGUGGAUAUGGAUAUAUAAUACACAUGUGCAUCUAUAUAAGACAUGGGUGCAGGCUCCGAUGCAUCAAGGGAUAUGAUAAACAGAAUUGGUAAACAGAAGUCGGGGACGGGGGCUGUGCAGGGAGACAGGAGCCAUUUGGGUCCAUUGGAGUGAAUCAGAGAACUUAUCUUGGCUGAAGGGGGCAGCCUCCAUUGACUCAGCCCAAUGCUUGCUAUUUUGGGAAUGUGAGUUCUUCAAACUUUUUCAGGUGAAUCCAGAAACCUGGCUUUUGUAUAAAACUUUCCAAGUUUUAGAUAUUGGCAGCAACAAAUUCAGACUGUUUUUCCAAUCCACUGACCCAAUUUGGCUAAUGGGUCAGUGAUCCGUGACUCUGAGAGACAUGGUCUUAUUCCCAUUCUAAGAUGAACGCAUUUCACAUUUAAACAUCUCUGGGCCAGGUACAGUGGCUCACACUUGUAAUCUCAGCACUUUGGGAGGCCAGGA
rnacentral:lncRNA from 1 species